GGCGCGCGAGGACUGGAGCCGCCGACGCUGCUGGCGUUGCUGAAGCAUCCGCUGUUCCGGCUCGGCGGCGCGCAU
rnacentral:tRNA from 1 species